AACACGUGGGUAACCUACCUAUAAGACUGGGAUAACUCCGGGAAACCGGGGCUAAUACCGGAUAAUAUUUUGAACCGCAUGGUUCAAUAGUGAAAGACGGUUUCGGCUGUCACUUAUAGAUGGACCCGCGCCGUAUUAGCUAGUUGGUAAGGUAACGGCUUACCAAGGCGACGAUACGUAGCCGACCUGAGAGGGUGAUCGGCCACACUGGAACUGAGACACGGUCCAGACUCCUACGGGAGGCAGCAGUAGGGAAUCUUCCGCAAUGGGCGAAAGCCUGACGGAGCAACGCCGCGUGAGUGAUGAAGGUCUUCGGAUCGUAAAACUCUGUUGUUAGGGAAGAACAGAUUUGUUAGUAACUGAACAAGUCUUGACGGUACCUAACCAGAAAGCCACGGCUAACUACGUGCCAGCAGCCGCGGUAAUACGUAGGUGGCAAGCGUUAUCCGGAAUUAUUGGGCGUAAAGCGCGCGUAGGCGGUUUCUUAAGUCUGAUGUGAAAGCCCACGGCUCAACCGUGGAGGGUCAUUGGAAACUGGGAAACUUGAGUGCAGAAGAGGAGAGUGGA
rnacentral:rRNA from 1 species